rnacentral:misc_RNA from 1 species
CUUGAGCAUAGCGAGUUUGGGUCCCUUGCCGUAAAGGUGCGUGAGUGGUGUUUGGCGUGUUACGGGCGAUUGGAUCCCUGCUUGCGCAGCAACUUUCGUCGGUGCAUGCCUCUUCAUUUGAGCCUCAAGGUCUCUUGUUACCUUGCGGUCCGCUGUUGGGUUUCCUGUGUCGGCUACCACUACCACGGUAUUGCUUUGCUUACGAAGAUCCACUCUUCGUCACGCGUUGCCCCGGGGACGCAUGACGAACCUUGAAGCUUGCUCCGUGCUCCCGCUCGAUGCUCAGUCGUCGAGACGGGCACACGGGGUGUUCGCUCGGUGUCUUGGGUACGGAACCUUUCGUGAUGGGUAUAUGGGGCCGUCAAGGUCUCGUGUCACCCUGAUCAAACAGCGUUUGCUUGAAGAAAACGACGGCCGCUCUUGUACGGGCUUCGGCUCGUGCGGUUUGGCUUCGUUGAACGAGGAAUGC